CCUCUACAGGGAAGCGCUUUC
rnacentral:miRNA from 1 species